rnacentral:lncRNA from 1 species
CAACCGUCUAGGCGUGGGGAGAACGCAGGACGUGACCCACACACCGCACUGGAGGCUCCGCUCUGCCCGCUCCGGGACCCCUUCCUCCGCCGCACCCGCCCCGGUGGUCCGCGGAUGCCCGCCCUUGCCGCUCAGCCACUCCCCCCGCACCGAGGCCUAGGACUCCCCCCCCCAACCCCGUCACAGCCCCCCAGACCCCCGCCCCGUGGCUCGGCCCCCGCCCUCCGCACACACCUCCCGCCCCCACCCGGGACCCCGCAAGUAACCCCCCAGCACUGGCCCUGAGCCCUCCCGGCCCCCGCCUCCGGCGCAGCCC